AAAAAAUUAAAUUUUUGUUGGAGAUUUUAGUAUUAAUUUUUUGAUAUAUGCACAUUUUUUUAAAAAUUUUGUAUUUUUGCAAUAUUGAGAUUUAAAUAUUAGGUUAUUCUAGAUUUAGGGAUUUUAUUUAGUACUAACAAAAUUUGUGCCAGCAGUUGCGGUUAUACUAAUAGUGCUAUUAAAAUUUUUUGGUGUUGAUUAAUUAGAAUGUUUACUAAAUUUUUUAUUUUUUAGUGAAAUUUAAAUAUUAAAUUAAGAAUUCUUAUUUAUUGAGGUCGUUAAAUUAAUUUGAAAACUAGGAUUAGAUACCCUAUUAUUGAAACUUAAUUUUUUACCUUAUGAUUAACAGUUACGUUCUUUAAAGUAAAAUGAUUUGGCGGUAUUUUAUUCUACUUAGAGGAACCUGUUCUAUAAUUGAUAAUCCACGAUUAUAUUUACUUGAAUUUUUAAUUUACAUAUCGUUGUUUAAAAUAUUUUAUAAGGAUAUAUUUUUUAAUUUUUAAUAAUUAAAUUCAGAUCAAGGUGUAGUUUAUAUUUAAGAAGAAAUGGGUUACAAUGACUUUAGUUUGGGAUUUUAAUUUUUAUUGUUAAAUGAAUAUGGAUUUAAAUGUAAAUUUUUAUAUAUAUAAAUUUUGAUUUUAGCUCUAAAAUAUGCACAUAUCGCCCGUCGCUUUCGAUUAAGUUGAAAUAAGUCGUAACAGAGUAGAUUUACUGGAAGGUGAAUCUAGAAUAAC
rnacentral:ncRNA from 1 species